rnacentral:rRNA from 1 species
CAAUCACUUCGGCAUUAUUGGGUUUAAGGGCCGUAGGCGGAUCUGUAAGUCAGUGGUGAAAUCUCAUAGCUUAACUAUGAAACUGCCAUUGAUACUGCAGGUCUUGAGUAAAGUAGAAGUGGCUGGAAUAAGUAGUGUAGCGGUGAAAUGCAUAGAUAUUACUUAGAACACCAAUUGCGAAGGCAGGUCACUAUGUUUUAACUGACGCUGAUGGACGAAAGCGUGGGGAGCGAACAGGAUUAGAUACCCUGGUAGUCCACGCCGUAAACGAUGCUAACUCGUUUUUGGGUCUUUACGAUUCAGAGACUAAGCGAAAGUGAUAAGUUAGCCACCUGGGGGGUACGUUCGCAAGAAUGAAACUCAAAGGAAUUGACGGGGGCCCGCACAAGCGGUGGAUUAUGUGGUUUAAUUCGAUGAUACGCGAGGAACCUUACCAAGGCUUAAAUGGGAAUUGACAGGUUUAGAAAUAGACUUUUCUUCGGACAAUUUUCAAGGUGCUGCAUGGUUGUCGUCAGCUCGUGCCGUGAGGUGUUAGGUUAAGUCCUGCAACGAGCGCAACCCCUGUCACUAGUUGCCAUCAUUCAGUUGGGGACUCUAGUGAGACUGCCUACGCAAGUAGAGAGGAAGGUGGGGAUGACGUCAAAUCAUCACGGCCCUUACGCCUUGGGCCACACACGUAAUACAAUGGCCAGUACAGAGGGCAGCUACCAGGCGACUGGAUGCGAAUCUCGAAAGCUGGUCUCAGUUCGGAUUGGAGUCUGCAACUCGACUCUAUGAAGCUGGAAUCGCUAGUAAUCGCAUAUCGGCCAUGAUGCGGUGAAUACGUUCCCGGGCCUUGUACACACCGCCCGUCAAGCCAUGGAAGUUUGGGGUACCUGAAGUCGGUGACCGUAACAGGAGCUGCCUAGGGUAAAACAAGUAACUAGGGCU